rnacentral:rRNA from 1 species
GACGAACGCUGGCGGCGUGCUUAACACAUGCAAGUCGAACGGAAAGGCCCUGCUUUUGUGGGGUGCUCGAGUGGCGAACGGGUGAGUAACACGUGAGUAACCUGCCCUUGACUUUGGGAUAACUUCAGGAAACUGGGGCUAAUACCGGAUAGGAGCUCCUGCUGCAUGGUGGGGGUUGGAAAGUUUCGGCGGUUGGGGAUGGACUCGCGGCUUAUCAGCUUGUUGGUGGGGUAGUGGCUUACCAAGGCUUUGACGGGUAGCCGGCCUGAGAGGGUGACCGGGCACAUUGGGACUGAGAUACGGCCCAGACUCCUACGGGAGGCAGCGGUGGGGAAUAUUGCACAAUGGGCGGAAGCCUGAUGCAGCAACGCCGCGUGCGGGAUGACGGCCUGCGGGUUGUAAACCGCUUUCGCCUGUGACGAAGCGUGAGUGACGGUAAUGGGUAAAGAAGCACCGGCUAACUACGUG